CUCUCCCGCCCGCCGUGUGAGAAAAGCCCCCUUUCCCCGGAUGUCUCAGAGUCUCUUCACGGCUCCUGCAGGGCCGCUCUCCAGGAGCCUAGUAGGCCCCGAGGUGCUCGCAGACGCGACGGCUCCGCGGGCGCCUCCAGCCGUCCCGGAAUGGGCGAAGCGCCGUGAGAGCGAGGCCCGAGUCCGGCCGCGCGAGCAGAAAGAAGGCGGGAGCGAGGCCGAGUUUCCCUCGGGGGCACCAGGCGCCGCCGCCGCCACAGCGGGGAAAGCGGCGGUUCAAGGCUGGCCUUCCGCGUCUGGCCUCCUGCGUGUCCCGCGGUUGCUGCCGGGCGGCGACGACGGCGAGGUCACGACGGCAGCGGCGGGGUCAGAGGGCAAAGGUCGCUCCCCCAGCAUCCUCCGUACGGGGUGCUCAGCCAUCUUGGAUCCUCGGGACAAGAAAAUUCAUGCGGUGACAAACAGCAUGUUUGGUGCUUCAAGAAAGAAGUUUGUAGAGGGGGUCGACAGUGACUACCACGAUGAAAGCAUGUACUACAGCCAGUCUUCGAUGUUUCCACAUCGAUCAGAAAAAGAUAUGCUGGCAUCACCAUCAACAUCAGGUCAGCUGUCUCAAUUUGGGGCAAGUUUAUACGGGCAACAAAGUGCACUAGGCCUUCCAAUGAGGGGAAUGAGCAACAAUACCCCUCAGUUAAACCGCAGCUUAUCGCAAGGCACUCAGUUACCAAGCCACGUAACGCCAACAACAGGGGUACCAACAAUGUCACUUCACACGCCUCCAUCUCCGAGCAGGGGUAUAUUGCCUAUGAAUCCUAGGAACAUGAUGAACCACUCCCAGGUUAGUCAGGGCAUCGGAAUUCCCAGUAGGACAAACAGCAUGAGCAGUUCAGGGUUAGGCAGCCCCAGCCGAAGCUCACCCAGCAUAAUCUGUAUGCCAAAGCAGCAACCCUCUCGACAGCCUUUUACUGUGAACAGUAUGUCUGGAUUUGGAAUGAACAGGAAUCAGGCGUUUGGAAUGAAUAACUCUUUAUCAAGCAACAUUUUUAACGGAACAGAUGGCAGUGAAAAUGUGACAGGAUUGGACCUUUCAGAUUUCCCAGCAUUAGCAGACAGAAACAGAAGGGAAGGAAGCGGGAAUCCCACUCCAUUAAUAAACCCUCUAGCUGGAAGGGCACCUUAUGUUGGAAUGGUAACAAAACCAGCAAGUGAGCAAACCCAAGAUUUUUCGAUACACAACGAAGAUUUUCCAGCAUUACCAGGCUCUAACUACAAAGAUCCAACAUCAAGUAAUGAUGACAGUAAAUCUAAUUUGAAUACAUCGGGCAAAACAUCAUCUAGUGCAGAUGGACCUAAAUUUCCUGGAGAUAAAAGUUCAACAACGCAAAAUAAUAACCAGCAGAAAAAAGGGAUCCAGGUGUUACCUGAUGGUCGGGUGACCAACAUUCCUCAAGGGAUGGUGACAGACCAAUUCGGGAUGAUUGGUUUGUUAACAUUCAUCAGGGCAGCAGAGACAGACCCCGGCAUGGUACAUCUUGCAUUAGGAAGUGAUUUGACAACACUAGGUCUCAAUCUCAACUCUCCUGAGAAUCUUUAUCCCAAAUUUGCAUCACCUUGGGCUUCUUCACCUUGUCGACCUCAAGAUAUAGACUUCCAUGUUCCAUCUGAAUACUUAACGAACAUUCACAUUAGGGAUAAGUUGGCUGCAAUAAAGCUUGGCCGCUAUGGGGAAGAUCUACUGUUUUAUCUCUAUUACAUGAAUGGAGGAGAUGUAUUACAGCUAUUAGCAGCAGUAGAGCUGUAUGUUCAGACUUCAGUGGAUUUAAUACUGGGAUUUAACCGAGAUUGGAGAUACCACAAAGAAGAGCGAGUAUGGAUUACCAGGGCACCAGGCAUGGAGCCAACAAUGAAAACCAAUACAUACGAGAGGGGGACAUACUACUUCUUUGACUGUCUUAACUGGAGAAAAGUAGCUAAGAGGCACAGUAGGUGGCCAUGGAGAACAGGGCCUCUGUGGUGACACCCAGACUUUGGAAUGCCCUCCCUGGCAUUACUCGUCAAGUACUUACAUCAUUAAAUUGCAGGAGUUCCAUCUGGAAUAUGACAAACUAGAAGAAAGGCCUCAUCUGCCAUCAACCUUCAACUACAACCCUGCUCAGCAAGCCUUCUAAAGACUUCCCUUGUCUUGGGUUAUGGCUGUCUCAGCACAAUACUCAACAUAACUGCAAAACUGAUGUGGCUCAGGCAUCCUGGUUUUAAUUCCUUUUGAGGAUCUGGCAAUUGGCUCAUGCAAAGGGGUCACCAUUUGAAGUCCUGCCUUACUAAUUAUGUGCUGCCCAACAACUAAAUUUAUGAUUUGUUUUUCUUAGUUUGAGCAGGGUCUGAUUUUCUUUUUUUAUUUUCUUUUUUGCCAGCAGACAAGCUUGGGUCUGUAAAGACAAGCAAGUACACUGACAAAAGUUUACCACUUAGUUUCCAAAAUGUGUAAAAAAAAACAAAAACGGAAAAGAAACCAACAACAAAAUUUGCAUUGUUCAUUGUAGCACUCUUGGUAAUAAAAAAAAAAAUGUUUGUGCAUUUUUAUGUGAAGAUCCUUCUCGUAUUUCGUUUGAAAAGAUGAGCAAGGUCUGCUUCCUUCAUUUUACUUCCCCUUCAGUUUUUGAAAAGGCAGUUUUCGCCAACUUAAUGCAAGAAUAUCUGACUGUUUAGAAGAAAGAUAUUGCCACAACCUCUGGUUCAUUUCCGAGGUUGUGUGUUACUGAGCUUCAUCUUUCCAGAAUGAGCAAAACACUGUCCAGUCUUUGUUACGAUUUUGUAAUAAAUGUGUACAUUUUUUUUAAAUUUUUGGACAUCACACGAAUAAAGGUAUGUAUGUACGAAUGUGUAUAUAUUAUAUAUAUGACAUCUAUUUUGGAAAAUGUUUGCCCUGCUGUACCUCAUUUUUAGGAGGUGUGCAUGGAUGCAAUAUAUGAAAACGGGACAUUCUGGAACUGCUGGUCAGGGGACGUCUUUGUCGCCCUGUGCACUAAAGGGCCAGAUUUCAGCAGCCAAGGACAUCCAUACCCAAGUGAAUGUGAUGGGACUUAACGAAGUGAACUGAGACAAUUCACUCUGGCUGUUUGAACAGCAGCGUUUCAUAGGAAGAGAAAAAAAAGAUCAAUCUUGUAUUUUCUGACCACAUAAAGGCUUCUUCUCUUUGUAAUAAAGUAGAAAAGCUCUCCUCA